rnacentral:rRNA from 1 species
UACGAAGGGGGCUAGCGUUGCUCGGAAUCACUGGGCGUAAAGCGCACGUAGGCGGCUUCUUAAGUCAGGGGUGAAAUCCUGGAGCUCAACUCCAGAACUGCCUUUGAUACUGAGAAGCUUGAGUCCGGGAGAGGUGAGUGGAACUGCGAGUGUAGAGGUGAAAUUCGUAGAUAUUCGCAAGAACACCAGUGGCGAAGGCGGCUCACUGGCCCGGAACUGACGCUGAGGUGCGAAAGCGUGGGGAGCAAACAGG